rnacentral:rRNA from 1 species
AUUGAACGCUAGCGGGAUGCUUUACACAUGCAAGUCGAACGGAGUGGCGGACGGGUGAGUAAUAUAUCGGAACGUGCCCAGUCGCCGGGUCUAACUACUCUAAAGCGUGGCUAAUACUGCAUACUACUGGAUCGGCCGAUAUCGGAUUAGCUAGUUGGUGGGGUAAAGGCUCACCAAGGCAACGAUCCGUAGCUGGUAUGAGAGGACGACCAGCCACACUGGGACUGAGACACGGCCCAGACUCCUACGGGAGGCAGCAGUGGGGAAUUUUGGACAAUGGGGGAAAGCCUGAUCCAGCCAUCCCGCGUGUAUGAAGAAGGCCUUCGGGUUGUAAAGUACUGUUGGCAGAGAAGCGGUAUCUGCAGAAUAAGCACCGGCUGACUACGUGCCAGCAGCCGCGGUAAUUC